rnacentral:lncRNA from 1 species
UCCCUCCUAGGCCUGGCCUCCGCUCCUUCUAAAUCAAGGGCUGCUGAUAGCUGCAGCCGCUUUGUAUCUGCCCAGCAAAUAGUGGCCUUUUGUCCCACACAAGUUCCUAAACAAACUUAAUCUCUCUAACACGGUGACAGAUGACAUUUAGAUGUCCUUGUUCCCCUUAAAAUGAGUUUUAUUGACAAUCAGAGAACAAAAAGAAGGCCCUGGAGAAAGACCAAUGUUUUAUAGGCCCUGCUAAACAACCAUCUCCGUUCUCAGUCCAGAGGGUGCAGAGAAAGCCUGAAGUUGCAAAAGGGCCCCCCUUUUUCUCCCCCCUGCUUUGCAAUAUCACCAUGACAACAGAUAUAGAAAUCACUUAGUGACUCCUAGAAAGAAAACACACUGACACAGUCCCCCUUGUAUGGCGAAUCAAACUAAAGCCUUCAUUGAAAUGGGCUAUUGAGCUUGGGCAUUCAUGUAGAGGAUGGGGUGGAUUUUACACAGGUAACUACAACAGAAAGGCCAGCCUGAACUCCAGCCACAGCAUAUGGUAAAGUCUCUGCUUAAUUAAUGCAUCCUCAAUAGAAUUUAUCCAUUUUAAAUUUGUUUUCUUUUACUUGAAACAUCAUUAAUGCAAAGGGCAACAUUAAUCAACAUCUUGCAACUUAAAGGGCAUUAAAGAGUGAUCUUUCCUCUCUUUUUCCCCCUCUCUCCUCUCUCUCUCUCUCUUUCUCUCUUAUGCAACAGAAUCUUUCAAGUAGUUAAGCAAACAGCAUAUGAUUUUCAAGCCCAUGCGAAAGGUCCUUAAUCAUAAGGCGCAUCUGAAGAGGCCUCUACCGGCCAGCCUUGCUAGUUGCAGCAAAGUUCUCGGCUUAAUUGCUUUGGACGAGAAAUGCAAACAAGAGGGAAAAACGAUUGCAAAACAAAGAAAACAAAGUGAUCUCAAAUUUCUUCAUUACAUUCCUUAUAGACCAGCUGAAACUACAGAAGCAGCAGAUCCUCCAUUCUCUAAGAGAACUGUCCAAAAUGUGUUACGUUUUACGUAUAAUGAUGUUAUAUGA